rnacentral:tRNA from 1 species
UUCCUGGUGGCUCAGCCGGUAGAGAAUCUGCCUGCAGUGCAGGAGAUCCAGGUUCAGUUCCUGGGUUGGAAA